UCAGAUUGAACGCUGGCGGCAUGCUUUACACAUGCAAGUCGAACGGCAGCACGAAAGAGCUUGCUCUUUUGGUGGCGAGUGGCGAACGGGUGAGUAAUACAUUGGAACGUGCCCAGUAAUGGGGGAUAACUGUCCGAAAGGAUGGCUAAUACCGCAUACGCUCUGAGGAGGAAAGCGGGGGACCNCAGGGCCUCGCGUUAUUGGAGCGGCCAAUGUCUGAUUAGCUAGUUGGUGGGGUAAAGGCUUACCAAGGCGACGAUCAGUAGUGGGUCUGAGAGGAUGAUCCGCCACACUGGGACUGAGACACGGCCCAGACUCCUACGGGAGGCAGCAGUGGGGAAUUUUGGACAAUGGGCGAAAGCCUGAUCCAGCC
rnacentral:rRNA from 1 species